rnacentral:lncRNA from 1 species
GUGGCUUGCCCACCUAAAAUGUUGGUUCUACGUUGUAAUGACCGCCAACAAUUUUGAGGUAUAUUAAAAGGAUGAGUUGGAUUACAUUGAGUUUGAUUACACAUGUUGGUGGAAGAUACUUCUGUGUGAAGACGUACAAAGUUUGUUUGUUUCCAUCGUUGCUAGAACCAUAAUCCAAGAAGAUUUUGUAAAAAUUGUCUCAAAGCAUGUCCCGAAGUUAGGGCACAAAGGGAUAAAGAUGUAAAAAAAGUAUGGGUAGGAGGGCAAGUUUGUUAUUGGAUCAAGGACACUCCUUAUAGACAUGAUUACAAAAGGGUUGGGUCGAUAGAGGUCAUCAACGAGUUGUUUGUUACUCGCCAUAUUUUGGUUAUCGCACAUCGCACCAUCCUUGACACUCCAAUCACCUAGCGAUGCCUCUGCCACCCCACCUACGCAAAUAAAAAAAACCCACAUGUAAUAGUUAUCACCUUAAACCCGGUGUGUCUCCUACCACAACCAUCUCGUUCCAUGUUCCCCUUCCUCGUAAACUCUCUUAAUCAUCCCUUGUUUUCCAACAUCCCCCUUAAUGAUACCGGUUAAUUGUGACUGAUGAGAAGAAGAUUCCUAGCCAAAAAGCAUAGGUAGUAUAUACUUUGUUUGAAGUGUCUUUUCAUAUUGUAAUGGUAAACUUGUAAUUUCAUAAGGCUUUGGAUGUGCAUUUUUAAACAGAUUGGUUGGGGUUGAUUUGGGGUUGAUGUGGGUUAGUUUGGUAGGGAAUUUUGGUUGAAUUAGUUUGGUAGGGAUUUUUAGAGGAAAAAUUUUUUAUGUGAGAGUUGCCGUUGUGAAUGGGAAUUUGUUUUUGAAUGAUUGAAUGUUGCCUUU